rfam:Glomerella graminicola M1.001 genomic scaffold supercont1.3, whole genome shotgun sequence.
ACAUACGACCAUACCCACUGGAAAACUCGGGAUCCCGUCCGCUCUCCCAUAGAUAAGCCAGUGAGGGCCGGAUUAGUAGUUGGGUCGGUGACGACCAGCGAACACCUGGUGUUGUAUGUU